rnacentral:snRNA from 1 species
AGAAGGGCUGUCUGGCUGCGACAUUUGUCUCCCCAUUGAUCACCAGGGUUGGUCCGCUGAUCUGGUUGGCUAGGUGGGUGUCCCCUUCCUCCCUCAUUGCUCUAUGUGUAUCCCUCCCGCAGCUGUGCACUUGGUGAAAGAGGAUGAUCUUCCCCAAAUAGAGAUGGACCAGUCUUCGGGCAAGUGUAUACGAGUAGCUGCACUCCCCUGUUAGAACCACCAAACAAGCCCUCUCAACUUCAGUAAUCUUGCAAUUAAUUGCAAAUCCAAGGUAGAGAAAGAAAGGAUUCAUAGAUGACAUCAAGAUUGGGUUCUGAAAAACUGUCUAGAGGACAGUCAGUCAUUUAACUCU